ACAGACAUCAGUUCAUCACUGUCCGUCGACUACUGAGUACGACUACAGAUUAUCAUUAUCAGUGUCUCAUGCAAUUAGCAAUUAAAUUUAAGAGAUAGGAUCCUUACGUACGCCAUGGCUUCCCAACAAACAGAAGACCGGGAGGAGAUGCCUCUUUCCAACCAUGAGAUGGCGGAUAGUAUGAACCAAGCUGCCAAUGAACUGCACACAGCGGCUUCUUCUUUAAUCAAAGCAGCGGCUAUUAUCCGACAAGCAUUCUCUCAUCUCAUAGUUUCAAUCCCACCGAUUGCUGAAUUGGAACCACCGUCAUCUCCGCCUCAACAGCCGAAUCUAGAUCUGGCCUUAGCUGAGAUGUCAUUGGGAACUAACAAGUAACAAUUGACGGCAUCGUGAACCUGGCAUGAUUAAGGAGAGAGUAAAAAUGAGGAGGCCAUCGUCCCAUCAAUAAGGAAUGCAGCUCAUUCAGAGACAAAUCAAUUUUUCGUUCAAAUGAUUUUUACUUGUUUUUCACCUGAAGUCUGAGUUAAUUAAAAAAUACAAGAAUUACAAAUGGAA